CAGGUAGGCGGGGCGGUGCUUGAUGGCAUACCAGCACACCUGCGGGGCAUCAGACGUCAUCAGAGGAGCAUUUAAAGAGCUGUGAGGCGGACGUCUGGUGUUGGAGUAUUGUCGCUUCCACAAUUGCCUGUGUCACCGCCUGCUCGCCUGCCUGUUUGUUUGGAAUUGGUCUUCUCGGAUCUGUGAUGGAGAUUUACCUCGCAUCUGCCUGUGACCACUGCCCACACCUGUAUUUUCUGUUUCAAGUCGCUCUGGUGUGCCACCUAUCCUCCCACAUACCUCUGUUCCAUCCCCUCGGCUCCAUCUCCUCGCACGUUUACCCAAUCACUGUACAUAGCCCCAUCCCUUGUAAAUAUCCCCCUAUCACUGUAAAUAAAUCAGCAUUCACCACUAUCCCGAGCCCGUGUGUGUUUCUGCUA